CCCUUAGAUGUUCUGGGCCACACGCGCGUUACACUGAUGAAGCCAGCGAGUAUAUCGCCUUCACCGGAAGGUGCGGGUAAUCUUGUGAAACUUCAUCGUGCUGGGGAUAGACCAUUGCAAUUAUUGGUCUUGAACGAGGAAUUCCUAGUAAGCAUGAGUCAUCAACUCGUGCUGAUUACGUCCCUGCCCUUUGUACACACCGCCCGUCGCUACUACCGAUUGAAUGGUUUAGUGAGAUCUCGGGAUUGGAGACGUUGCGCCGCAAGGCACAUCGUCCUCGAGAACUUGACCAAACUUGAUCAUUUAGAGGAAGUAAAAGUCGUAACA
rnacentral:rRNA from 1 species